rnacentral:rRNA from 1 species
AACGAACGCUGGCGGCAGGCUUAACACAUGCAAGUCGAACGCAUCCUUCGGGGUGAGGGGCAGACGGGUGAGUAACGCGUGGGAACGUGCCCUUCAGUUCGGGAUAACCCAGGGAAACUUGGGCUAAUACCGGAUACGUGCGAGAGCAGAAAGAUUUAUCGCUGAAGGAUCGGCCCGGGUCUGAUUAGCUAGUUGGUGGGGUAAUGGCCCACCAAGGCGACGAUCAGUAGCUGGUCUGAGAGAAUGAUCAGCCACAUUGGGACUGAGACACGGCCCAAACUCCUACGGGAGGCAGCAGUGGGGAAUAUUGGACAAUGGGCGCAAGCCUGAUCCAGCCAUGCCGCGUGAGUGAUGAAGGCCUUAGGGUUGUAAAGCUCUUUCGUCCGGGACGAUAAUGACGGUACCGGAAGAAGAAGCCCGGCUAACUUCGUGCCAGCCGCCGCUGUAA